rnacentral:rRNA from 1 species
CAGUCGCCGCGGUAAAACGUAGGGCGCAAGCGUUAUCCGGAAUUAUUGGGCGUAAAGAGCUCGUAGGCGGUUUGUCGCGUCCGCCGUGAAAGUCCGGGGCUCAACCCCGGAUCUGCGGUGGGUACGGGCAGACUAGAGUGAUGUAGGGGAGACUGGAAUUCCUGGUGUAGCGGUGAAAUGCGCAGAUAUCAGGAGGAACACCGAUGGCGAAGGCAGGUCUCUGGGCAUUAACUGACGCUGAGGAGCGAAAGCAUGGGGAGCGAACAGGAUUAGAUACCCGGGUAGUCCCUGUCUCUUAUAC